rnacentral:tRNA from 1 species
GCGGAUGUGGUGGAAUGGUAGACACGCACGAUUGAGGUUCGUGUGCCGCAAGGUGUGAGGGUUCAACUCCCUUCUUCCGCACCA